UAAGACGUGGGAGGCGAGCGUUAUCCGGAAUUAUUGGGCGUAAAGGGCGUGUAGGCGGCUCUCUAAGUUCUUGGUGAAAUCUCCUGGCUUAACUGGGAGGGUGCCAGGAAAACUGGAGGGCUUGAGGGCAGCAGAGGGGGGUGGAAUCCCCGGUGUAGUGGUGAUAUGCGUAGAUAUCGGGAGGAACACCAGUGGCGAAGGCGGCCCCCUGGGCUGUACCUGACGCUGAGGCGCGAAAGCGUGGGUAGCAAACAGGAUUAGAUACCCUGGUAGUCCACGCCGCAAACGAUGGACACUAGGUAUGGGGGGUAUCGACCCCCUCCGUGCCGAAGCUAACGCCAUAAGUGUCCCGCCUGGGGAGUACGACCGCAAGGUUA
rnacentral:rRNA from 1 species